GACGAAGGGGGCUAGCGUUGUUCGGAAUUACUGGGCGUAAAGCGCGUGUAGGCGGUUGCCCAAGUCGGGUGUGAAAGCCUUGAGCUCAACUCAAGAAAUGCACUCGGUACUGGGUGACUAGAGGACCGGAGAGGAUAGUGGAAUUCCCAGUGUAGUGGUGAAAUACGUAGAGAUUGGGAAGGACACCAGUGGCGAAGGCGGCUAUCUGGACGGUUUCUGACGCUAAGACGCGAAAGCGUGGGGAGCAAACAGG
rnacentral:rRNA from 1 species